rnacentral:tmRNA from 1 species
GGGGUUGUACUGGUUUCGACGGGCUCACUGAAGAUGGAGAAGCUGUUCGUGGUCGGACACCACGUAAAAAGUUCGACUUAAAUUUAAACGCAGAAGAUAAUUUUGCAUUAGCUGCCUAGUUGCAGCUCAUCGGUCCUCAUAACCCACGAUGAGGAUUACCGGUGUCAACCUUGUGGGACCCUCUAAUG